rnacentral:lncRNA from 1 species
AAGCACAAGAUUGGUCGACAUAAACGAAAUAGGAAUCUCAAAACAUAAAUUGGACGAGCACAAGAUUGGUCGAGAUAAACGAAAUAAGAAUCGCAAAAACAUAAAGUGUACAAGCACAAAAUAAAUAAGAGUAGCAUUGUUCCAGCCUUACACUAGGCAUUCACCUCCACACACACCAUCAUUUUUUGUUUUUGUUUUUUUUUCAAAAAUACAAAAGGAUUCUAGAUGAACACAAACAAAACUAGUUAAUAUUCCAAAAGCAUAUAUACAUAUAUAUAUAUAUAUAUAUAUAAAUAGUUUCUCUGAACCUGGAGGAGGCUGUAAUCACCUGCAAAUGAAAAAAUCCCUAAAGGUGUUAAAUGCUAGUAAAUGCAUGCAUAUAUAUAUAUAUAUAUAUAUAUAUAUAUAUAUAUAUAUAUAUAUAUAUAUAUAUAUAUAUAUAUAUAUAUAUAUAUAUAUAUAUAUAUAUAUANNNNNNNNNNNNNNNNNNNNNNNNNNNNNNNNNNNNNNNNNNNNNNNNNNNNNNNNNNNNNNNNNNNNNNNNNNNNNNNNNNNNNNNNNNNNNNNNNNNNACACACCAGCAAGGGAGACGUAGUUACCCUAGCUCGAAAAAUUAAGAGAUUAUUAUCAUCAUCUUCACCAUCAUCCUCCUGAGGCUUAGCUGUAAAAGUGAUUAUAGCAGUUAUUGUUUGUCCAGUUACUCUCUUCAGCUCCACAAAUCUGUAUUUCUUCACCUACAUAAUUAUAACAAUAAUAAAUUAAAUUAAAUUAAUUAUUCAUAUAGUGAACAUAAUAAUAAUAAUAAACACCAAACUUUAAUUGUUUUCUAGAGAGAGAGAGAGAGAUCUAGAGAGAGAGAGAGAAGAAACACAAUGAAUAGACAUACAUGUGUGUCGUUGUAGACAUCAAUGGCUAAUUGAGCAGCUUCUUUCAUUUUUGGGAUGAUAAAAGCAUUAUCUGCGGUGGGAACUCCGUCGUACCAGACGCUUGGAGCACCAAACCCUCGCCGGUUCCAAUUUCUAUUCUUCUUCUCCGUCGUUUCUGGAAUCAGCUUCUUCUCCGUUGUUUCCGUUGAUUCUGGAAUCAUCAUCAUCAUCUUCUCCGUUGAUUCUGGAAUCAGCUUCGAUUUACGCUUCGGCGACGUAUUGCCGAGAAACUUCCAGGCAUUCCUUUGCGAUUGCAAUUUCGACACCUUUUUCAUUCCGUCGCCAGAUUCACAAUAAUCCCCUUUCUCUAAACCCUAGUCGUUUUGCCCUUUUCGUUCUCUUUUUUUCUUUUUUAAUUUUUUUUUUUUUUUUUUGUUUAAUGGGCUGGAUUUUGAGAAUGGGCUGGAUUUUAAACAUACUCAAUUUCUGUUAUAAUACCAUUAUAUAUUAAAAUACAUAAAUGUCAUUUUGCUGCAUACUGCAUAUUACACGACUAAGAAUAUCAUUCUUAUAAUUUUAAAGAUUUUUUUCUCCAACAAAUGACAACUUAAACGGGGAUUUUUUCGAGUUUUAUAGCAUUCUUUGUAAUUACUAUAUUAAUCACAUGCUACUAUUAAAUUUAAAAAUAAUCCAAAUAUUACAAUUAAUACGUGAAUUUACAGAUAAGGCACACAAAAAAAUAUGUGAAUUUUUUUCUAUUUUAAUUAUCCCAAGAGUAAAACAAAAUAUUUUUAUAGCUCACAAACUGCCCUGCUAAAUUUUACUUUUCCCAUGUUAUUUUCAUAAUUUAAAUUUCACAAUUAAUUCUUUUAAUAUUGUGCAAUUUAUUUUUAAUACAAUUUAGUUAUGGGUGUUACUAUUUGCAGCGGGACUUUUACUGAAAUUGUCUUAUUUGCAGCGGUACCUUUUUCAUUUUAAUUUUUCCAACUUUCAAUUUCUCUCUCCUAUUCCCAAACACUCUCUAGAAAUUUGAAUUUCGUAAAAUUUUUCGACAUUCAAACCGUACAAACAAGGCUCGAUUCCGGUAAAUUUUCGAUUUCCUACUACUUUUAAUUAUUUUUAUUUCCAAUUUAGGUAAAAACGUGUGUUUAGGAAUAGAUCUAGCAAAUUUCGGAAAAAAAAAAAAAAUUUACGGCACCCGUGUUCUGGAGCACGGGAGCUUCAACUAUUUGUUCUCUACAGCACGGGAGUUGCAAACUGUUUUGUAAAUUUAAAUUUUCCGAAAUAAAAAAAAAAAAAAUUAUUUAAGUUUCCCGUCUUGAAGGACACGGGAACUUGAAGUUUUUUGAGUUUCCCGUGUUCUGGGGAACGGGAACUUGAAAAUUUUGAGUUUCCCGUUCUGCAGAACACGGGAACUUGAAGAAUCUUCAAGUUCCCGUGUUCAACAGAACGGGAAAUUUAAACUAAUUUUAAUUUUAUUUUAUUUUUAAUUAUUUUAUUUAAUUUGUUUUUUUAUCUUUUACAGAUGGCACGUCAGGACAAGGGGAAAGGGCUUAUGGGUUCUUCUUCGAGUUCGGAUAAAUUUCCGAAGAUUAAAUUUUGGUAUGGCGGGCAAGGCGCGACGGAAGCCGAGGCGGAAGCGGAGCGCAUUCGUAUGACUGCAUCUCAUCGUCGUAGGAGAGUUAUGGAGCGCGACACUGAUUUACCCGUCGUGGACGAGAUUCCCCACAUAGAUCAUAGUUCUAGAUCUAUGACGGGUAGCAUUCGAUCUGUAGGGGCAGAUUCUCGUAUCCCCUACGAGGGACACGUGGAGGAGCAUGACCAUGUUGAGAGCGAUUUUGAUGAUGUUCUCGUCCCGGCCGCGCGCUCACGGAAGUCUCGGUACGAGUUUGACACUUUCAGUGGCCCACUUGAGUUACAUGGUCCGGCUCCAGGAGGACCGACUGAUUGGAGGAUGAUUCCUAGUUUCAAGAGUCAUAUUGCCUACUACAUUUGGGCAGGACAUGUAAGUUUAAAUAUAUUUAUUUUUAUAUAUUUUAAAUAUAUUUAUUUUAAUAUAUUUUGUCUAAUUCAAUUAGAAAUUCUAUAGGAGCGCAGCGUGGGGCGAUGUGAGUCAAGGAUUACUGCGCUUAAUGCUUUUAAGAAACAUGAGUUGAAGCAACUCAUGGCUCCUUACGGGCAGGAUGAGUUAGAGCUACUGGAGGCAUCUGGCCUAGACUCACUCGAGUACUUCUACAUAAAAAAUGUAGACAAGGGACUCAUGGGGGCAUUUAUAGAGAGAUGGCAGCCGGAAACGAACAGUUUCCACAUGCCUUGGGGUGAGAUGACGAUCACCCUACACGAUGUCCAUUUAAUUUUGGGGUAGCGUGUUGACGGUCUAGCGGUGCACGGUGAUUCUGUUGAGGAGAGGCCUAUGUGUGAGUUGUUGCUAGCUGAGGUUCUUGAUUUGGACAUGGUCGAAGCGCAUGCCAGGCUCGGCAAUAGUGGGAUAAAAUGGUCGGAGUUUGUGGAGCGUGUGCGCAGUCGGUCCCGAACUUGUCGGCAGAAGGUGGUAGGAUAUUUGACGUUUUUUAUCGGUAUGGCUUUGUUCCCCGACCGGAGUGUAGACAGGUUCAAGCCAACGUGGAUGAGAUAUUCUUCCGAUCUCGAGCACGUCGGCGAGUAUGCUUGGGGUGCAGCUGUAUUGGCUCAUUUAUACCGACAAUUGGGCUUGGCUAGUAGGGCUCACGUGAAGGGGUUACAGGGUUGCACGUUACUGCUCCAGGUAUUUAAGUAAAAUUUUAAUAUAAUAUAUUAUACUCAAUAGAUUAUGUUUAAUAAUAUAUUAAUUGAAUAUAAUAUACUACAAUUUAAUAUAAUUUAUUAUUAUAAUUAGUAUAACGUAGGUAGUUAUAUAAUAUAGCCUCAACAGUACAUUAAUUUAAUAUAAUAUAUUGUGAUUUAAUAUAAUAUUAAUCUAAUAUAGUCUCGUUUAUUUGUAGUGCUGGAUUUACGAGUACUUUCACCCUUUCCGAGCACCUAUUAAUUCGGAUUAUAGGGAGAUGCAGCCUCGGUUCCUGAAAUGGAAACCACGCAAGGGUAUUUCGGACUUGCUCUCGGUCCGAAGGAUGCUUGAUGAUAUGCAGGCCGAUCAGGUAUGUAUUUUAAUUGUUGAAUUUAUUUAUUAUUAAUUAUUAUGAAAAUGUAAUUUUUAUUACGUUAAUCUAAUUUUCCAGAUUGACGGGAUGCCUUACGGGCCGCACGUACAUAGACGCGUUCCGCGUACAUUAUAUUAUGGGUGCAUACAGUUUAUGGAGAUUGUCGAGCCAUAUUUACCGGAUCGCGUCCUUCGGCAGUUUGGUUUUAGACAGACCAUACCGCAGUGCUUCAUCCAGUCCAGAGAGUCGUGCCUACGUGGUCCGCUUGGAGGACAGACAUACCAGGUACGGUAUGAUCCGCCAGGGCAGGAGUGGAUGGACCUGGCUAUCAGCUCGAUUACGUUGGACGGUAGGACAUUAGCCUGGCCGCCGUCUGAGACUGCCACUCGGUACAUAGAGUGGUACGUUCCUCGUACUCAUCAGUACGUGAUCAACCGGGAUCCAGCGCCAGAAGGACCACCGCCAGUCGUACGCCCCCCUCCUAUUCAGCCGGACUUUUAUGACAUUGUGCGUAUCAUCCAUCCGCACAUGCACGAGAUACCCCAGCAUCUACGUGUCCAGUUACAGCCUCGUGUGGAGCCACAUGCACGUUUUCUAGGUUUAUCCCCCAUUGGAGUUUCCGACGACGACGACUUUAUGGAGAUGCCACCACCGCGUCGGCGACCGGGUGGGACGAGUGGCACUUCGAGGAGGUCUAGGGGUAGACAGUAGACGGCUUUUGUUUGACAUUAAGUUGUUUUUUCUGACAUUUGGCUAUGUUUUGUAUUUGUUUGACAUUUAUUUGUUUUUUCUGACAUUUGGCUAUGUUUUGUAUUUGUUUGACAUUUAUGUUAUUUUUGUUUGACUAUUUUAUUUAUGUUAUUUUUGUUUUGGCCACCACCGCGUCGGCGACCGGGUGGGACGAGUGGCACUUCGAGGAGGUCUAGGGGUAGACAGUAGACGGCUUUUGUUUGACAUUAAGUUGUUUUUUCUGACAUUUGGCUAUGUUUUGUAUUUGUUUGACAUUUAUUUGUUUUUUCUGACAUUUGGCUAUGUUUUGUAUUUGUUUGACAUUUAUGUUAUUUUUGUUUGACUAUUUUAUUUAUGUUAUUUUUGUUUUGGGUUUAAUUUCAAAUUUAUUCCAACCAACAUAAUAUAAUAUAAUACAAGGUCCAAACAUACGAACUAAAAUAAAAUAAUACAAGGUCCAAAUACAUACCAACUAAAAUAAAAUAAUACAAGGUCCAAAUACAUACCAACUAAUAUAAAAUAAUACAAGGUCCAAAUACAUACCAACUAAAAUAAAAUGCCUAUCCCAACCUUGAUAAACGACGCCACAUGUAUAGGGGUUCUUCGAACAUUUCCGACAAGUGGGCAAGAUUUGCGGCUCUAACAUGUCGCCACUGUGGAGUGAUAGGUGGUAGAGGACAAUUAACCGGUAACUGGAUAAGGACAAAAUGGUUUCCUAACAACACCAUAUGGAUCAUAUGGGAUAAUUCACCCGGACCAACUAGAGGUAAGUAGGUUAUAUUUCCGCCAAUGGCGUAUAAGACCAAAGCCGCAUUGUAUUUAGUCGCUAUCGACAUUCCCAUAUCCGGAAAUGACAUCCAUUUGUCCCGACUGCACGGUCCUUCUUGUCAAUCACAUCUUGUAAUCCAUCGAAUGACUUCAUCUUCACCAUUUUGCGAUGCGUACGUACCAAAUCGCUCGUACAUAUCGGCAAUCAAAUCUCUCCUUACACGACUCCAUCUGUGCUGAUCUCGGAACACUGCUUCUGCAACACAUCUGUACCCACAAUUUCCAUCUGCUAUAACAUUAACAUACGACACAAUAGAUCCUGCCACAAAACCUGGGAUGUAAGAUCUGAAAUUGAGCUCAUCGCCCGGUUCCUUUUGAGGCAUCGGAUUACUCUUCUGUUUGGCAGUAGAUUCAUCACUUGAUCUACCACUCCCUCGACCCCGCCCUCGUCCACGACCAGAACCGGAUUCGGUUACUUUCGAUGGUGGGCUUCUGGUAGAAAUACUUUUUCGACCCUUAGAACCGGCAGACGAUUUACCAUUUUCUUCAUCAGUAGACGACUUCCGCGGGAAUGGUGGGUACUCCCAACCGGAUUUAUCUCUCUUCGGUUUAUCCUUUGGCCUUCCUUUUGGUAUAACAUAUGCAGGCUCUGCCAAGUGGAUGGUGUCUGGAUGAAUAGUGCUAUUCAUGUAAUCAGCAGUCAUCUUUUGAGUCAUAUAAUCUUUUUCUAACACUUCCGUGGCUAGUCUGAUUAUUCGGUCUCUCAUAUUUGUUUCACGAUCCAUCUGUGCUUCAGGUAUUUCUGGUUCUUCAACGUGCAUGGUACUCCAAAAUGGAUGUAGAUCCAUACAUAUAAAUGUAUCACGUUGCUGGAUUUUCAACGCAAUUCGUCAUGUACAAGGAAGUGCAUGACUAUCCCACAAAACGUGAUCACAAAGAGAUGGGUCUUGAAACCCCGAAUUUUUUAUCUCAUCAUCAAGCAAAUUUAAUGCUUUAUGUGUGACUUUGCAUAUCAAACCCUGAAAUACCGGAUACGCUGACGAGUGCAACCUGAUUAAACUGCAUUUUGAAAACUCACCCUUGAUCUUGGUUAGUUGAUACUCAACCCCGGAGUCGAGCUGAUAUUGAAUAGUGUUCACACCACCGGUAGAAGCAUUAAUCCAACCCUUCGACGAUUUAUGAGCACUUUCCACCCUGUUAAUAGCCAUUAAAAUAACAACUAAUAAAUAAAAACGCCCACAAUAUAAUAUAAAAUAAAAGACGAUAAUGAAACCCAACAUACCUAGAUGUCGACGUGUUCCGAAAAUGCAAAAUCUUAUUAGCCCAUGCUUUGACGAAUUUGUGCUUGUAAAUUAGCCAAGUAUCGUUAAGGUAUGAUAUCAAUUUGGGGUAACAACCAUAGCGUCUAACCAUUUCCUCGUAAUUAUCAUUGUAAUCUUCUUCUGUUUUUGACUUCACUAAUUUUGCCCAAUGUAUGCGCCGAAAUAUAAGCCCGUGUUUAGUACUACCAAUAAAUCUCGAUGCAUUUUUUUCCACGUUUCUAUUGAUGUGAAACAAACACAAGAAAUGAGCGGAAUCUGGAAAUAUUACGGGCAUUGCUUUGAUAAGUCCCAAUUCACGAUCCGUCAAUAUCACAUUAGGUACCAGCCCCCCCAACGCACAUUUCAAACAACGCAAAGCCCAUUCGUAUGUGUUUGCAUCUUCAUGUGACAUGAAAGCAACAGUAAUUGUAAAAUUCAUACCAACAGGAGUGAUUCCAAUUAUUUCCAAAAGUGGCAUCUCAUACCUACGUAAAUACAUAAAUAUCAAAUGCAAUCAAUCAAUGUAAAAUAGCACAAUAAUAAAUACUAAUUAACAACAUACCUAUUGGUUUUGUAAGUGCAGUCCAUCAAUAUGACGUGAGAGAAUAACCGCAAAAGUUUCAACUAAAUAGGAGCAGCGAACAUCAAAUCAGUAAGUGUAUCAUCACCUUCAUUACUUCGAUACCAAUAUUCAUAUUCAGAUUCUUGAAGGUUCGACAUCAACGUGUUGUAUCACAGUCUUCCCCGCCAUAUUCUCUUUUUUCAUCUUCUCAAGUUGGUUGUAGACAUGUUUCACACUCGUUGAUGUCUGUGGAUUAUCCUUUCUCAAUCGAUCCAUAAUUAAUGCCGGCUUCACGUGGCUCUUUCUAAGUAACUUCACUACCUCGUAUUCUUCUGGUGUCAAACGACUAUCCGGUCCUUGUCCGGUAGGAUACGGUAGUGUCGGGUGAGUGUGAGUGCCACUUUUUAAAUUCAUUCGCCAUAGUCCAUCGUUUGAAUUUUUGCUACAGUAUAUACGAAAAGGACAUCCACAUUUUUUUGUUCCCACAUUCCGUGGUAUCGCACCUACGGUUCGUUUUUCACGUCCCUCCCCAGACAAAUGACAUCUAAUUACUACAUACAUGUUUUUCUUGCUUGAAGUUACUAUCAAUCGAUGACCAUGAGUAGCAGCCAUUUUUUUGCCCAUUCCACUAAUUCUUUCCCAGUUUCAAACUCAACACCUACAUUGAAAUGUUGACUGUGAUCCUCAGAAGUUGUUGGUGUGUCUUGAGGAACAUCGAAACACAUGUUGGGAUCCUCGUACUCGUUGUACGCUUUGUCACGAUUAGUUGUAAACUCAUCGUCAAAAUCACCUUCAGUACCCUAUUAAGAUAUAACAAGUUAUAAUUAGGAUAUAAAUAACAAUAUUAAAAAAAAAAAAAAAAAAAAUUAUUAGGGGUUCCCGUGCCGGCGGGCACGGGGGUGCACUGUUCCCGUGCCGAAGGGCACGGUGGUGCACUGUUCCCGUCCGCCAGGGCACGGGAGUCUCAAACCUCCGUCCUCUAAGGCACGGGAGCACGAUAUUCCCGUGCUCCCCAAGACGGGACCUAUAGUUUCAUUUUUUUUUUUUUUUUUGAUUCUCCCGUGCUGUACAACACGGGAAUCCCUAAUUUUUGGGAUUCCCGUGCUACACAGCACGGUAUACCCGACGAAAAACAAAAAAAAUCCGCUACUUUCUUCGAUUUACCUCGUAAAACUCGUCAGAAUCGGCCAUAGUGUUAUAUGUUGUCGUCGGGCAGUCGAUUCAUCAAAUAAACACGAAAAUCUUAAUUCUCGACUUUUUUUAGUUGAGAGAGUUUUCAGUUUUUCAAAAAGUUUGAAAAGUUGAAAUGAAAAGGUAUCGCUGCAAAUAAGCCAAUUUCAGUUAAAAGUCCCGCUACAAUUAGCAUUUCAGUUUAGUUAUAACACAUUAAAAUUUUAAUACUACUGGGGGGAUAGUAUAAUUAUUAAAUACGCAAAAAGUAAUUAAAUAGAAAAAAAAAGUCUGUCAGAUAUUUCCAGCCCGCUUGACCAGAGCUCCAGCCAGACUUAUAUUGCUAACCGCUAGGGUCGAUCAUCUUAUCUGCGGAAACACAGCGCUUCGUGCCACUGUGCCCACAGCUUCAUCACAAUCCGGCCAAGCAGGAGGGUUAUCAUCAUCCAGACUUGACACGGUGUUGACCAGGCUGCCCCCGCCUUAACAUAAAUACAUCUUCUUUAUUAUGUAAACCUCCGAUGUGGGACACUGACAUUCAUUUAACACAGGCAGAUACCCCUUAAAUGCUCUUCUUUUUCUUUUCUUUUAAUCUAUAUAUAUAUACACACACACACAUGGGCAAAUUGUCUUAUCGAGCCAGACAAAACCGACCUGCUUGCUUGGCUACAUACUAGAUUUAAUGGCUUGAUAUACGACAAAACGAACGAACCCUUAAAGAACAACCUCUUACUGUACUAACCUCCGAUAACCAAAUCCUCAAUAAACGAACCAUUAGUCCAUUAAGAAUUGAGUGAAAGGGAUUUCAUUGGUUUUUUUCACAAGUAAUUGGACAAACACAAAGAUUGGCCGAAAUAAACGAAAUAACAAUUGCAAUACAUAAAGUGGACAAGCACAAAAUAUAGCAGUAGCAAGCAAAUUUGUCAAAAUAAAUAAGACUAGCAUUGUUCCAGCCUUUCACUGGGCAUUCACACCUCCACACACACACCUAUCAUUUUUUGUGUUUUUUUCACAAAAUACAAAAGGAGUCUAGAUGAACACAAACAAAAUUAGUUCACAGCCCAAUUACAUAUAUUCCAAAAGCAUAUAUAUAAAUAUAUACAUAAAUAGUUUCUCUGAACCUGCAAAUGAAAAAUCAAUAAAAAGUGUUAAAUGCUAGUAAAUGCAUGCAGCAUAAAGCUGAGAGGUUGUUAAACAGUGUAAAUUUCUAUAACAUAGACUGGAAGGUGUACAUACUUGAGACAUUAGAUUGCAAUUAAUUGACCUCUCUCAUGUUUCGUGCUAAAGAUAUUCAAAUUUACG